rnacentral:lncRNA from 1 species
AUGACAAACACAAAGGGAAAGAGGAGAGGCACCCGAUAGAUGUUCUCUAGGCCUGUUAGAAAACAUGGAGUUGUUUAUUUGGCCACGUAUAUGAGAAUCUAUGAGAAAGGUGAUGCUGUAGACAUCUAAGGGAAUGGGUACUGCUCUAAAAAGAAUGCCCCACAAGUGUUACCAUGGCUAAACUGGAAGAGUCUGCAGUGUUCCCCAGCAUGCCGUUGGUACUGUUGUAAACAAAAAAGUUAAGGGGAAGAUUCUUGCCAAGAGAAUUAAUGUGCAUAUUGAGCACAUUAAGCACUCCAAGAGCUGAGAUAACUUCCUAAAAAACAUGAAGGAAAAUGAUCAGAAAAAGAAAGCCAAAGAGUUCAACUGAAGUGCCAGCCUGCUCUACCAAGAGAAGUGCAACUUUGUGAGAACCAAGGGGAAGGAGCCUGCUGCUGGAACGUAUGAACUCAUGGCAUAG